rnacentral:lncRNA from 1 species
UUGUGGUAUUUCUGGAUCAUUACCAAGGCAGUGAUGGUAUAUUCCUUCUCUCAAGAUAUGUAGUAUUUGUGGUAUAAAGCAUAGUGACAUUGUCUUCUCUCUCACCCUACUCUAAUAAGGCUUUAAUAUCUGGAGCUCAUAGGUGGGAGAUAAAGUAUACAUACUUACAAGACAUUUAUUGUAUAGUCAAACCAUGGAUCCAAAGAUACAAGUCAGUAAGUUUAAUCAAGAUGUGCAUGUGUGGCGAAUGAAUGGUGUAUGGUGAUGAUGGUGAAAACAAUGGUGAAAGUCUAAUUCUACUUUUGCUCUUUUGAGGGGAUACAUACCUUCCUUGCUUUCUGAAACUUUAUGAGGAGAAUGAGAUGCUCUAUAUUUUUCUUUUCUCUCAGGUGGGUAUCUUGUACCCCUAAUUCUACUGUCGGACACUUGUCCAUUUUUACCUCUCGUCUCACUCUUUUUUUUCUUUUCUUUCGAGGUUCCGAGCACUUGCUCCUUUUUAUUUCCUCGUAUCUCUUUUUUUAGAGCACUCAUCUCUUGAGAUAAUAUAGUAAGUGGUUGUAACAAGAUAACUUGAGCAUUUAUUUCACAGGGGAAAACAGAAAUAUUUUUGGCUAUUCUCUCCCGGGUUAGGAGUAGAAUAUUUUUAGGUGGUUCUAGAGAUGAGAAUGGGUGGAUAUAUGUGGAUGGUACUUUCGGAGUAGAAGUAGCAUGUAUGAGUGAACGUGCAAGUGAAAUCUUGAUUUAACCACAUGACAAGCUCCUAAGGGUCUACACAGCUUGACCACACUCAAUGCUCAUAAGGAGUAAAUAGUAAAUGUGUGGCUCAAAGUCUAGCAAGCAUGUAUAUAUGGCUGUGGUAGGAAUUUAAACUCUCAUCAUACAGGAACUCAUCAUGCAAUAUUUUAAAGAUUUUCAAAGAUAAAAUUCUCCAGAAUUCUAGCAUCUCUAGGAACAGAUAAAUAGCAGCUCAACCUUCCCAUAUCGUAUCAGUUAACAACUUAGACUUCAGAUCAAGUUUUCAUCCCACAAGUUUAGGUCUAGAGCAAGCUUUAAAUUAUAACAGUUAUAUCUAAACUUGAGAGAGAACUUAAAAUGUGCA